GGGGCCGCGCUCCGCCAAUGAGCUCGCGCCUCGCGCGGCCGCCCGCGCCGGUAAGAUGGCGGCGGAAUCAGCAGAGCUAUGGGAAGUGGCAGGGGAUUCUGUCUGGGCUCGUGCAUCACCAGGCACAUUGUUACCUAAGUUCCGCUUCCAGAGCCAGUUGAUGUGAGACAGUACAGACCCAGCAGAGUUCGCAGUUAGUGAGGUUGAAGCGGACUCUGUUGCUGAUUUCCUUUCUGAAAGGGCUGAUCAAAGUGGCACCAGGAUCAGCUGAGCUUCAGAAGGUGCUUCUGGAGCUGCAAGCAGAAGGCACAGGGGUCACUUAAAUACAGGGACCGACAGCAACAUGGAUGACCAUUCCCCUCACACCUUUGGGCUUUCUCAUUCUCAUGAAUUUAAGCCUACUGUUAAUAAUACAGUUCCCAGGGCCAAAAGGCCUUUAGAUUCCCCCAGGGAGGCUCAGGUCCUGCAGGCAGCUAAGAAAGCUUGUGUGUUGAGUCAUCACUGUAGCAUUCCAUGUCCGUCAGAGAAGCUGCUGCUCUGUUCCCCAGAUUCUGCCUGCUUUCAAGGAUCCUCUCAUUUUCUGGACAGUGCUGGCCAUGAUGAGGUUGUUGCCAGCUGUUCUGAGUCAAAGUACAAUGAUGUAGCCACUUCUCUAGAUACAGCCAGAUGUUUUGAUGAUAGCGAGCCAGACGACUCCUUGUUGGAACUGUCAGACAGUGAACAAGGGAAUUCUCCUUUCAAUUACACUGAGGAAGAGAUCCAGGAAAUCUUGGCAGAUGAUUGCUUGGGAUCUGAGCAGUGUACAACUAGAAAAAGCACUGUGAGCCAAAAUGUGAACGGAGAGAGUGAAAAGGACGUGAGCAGCAGCUGCACUGGGGCAUCAGUCAUCAGUGAAGAUGUAAAGUUAAAUGAUACGGCUGUAGGCCAGAUUGGGCAGAAAGAAACAACAAGUGGGAAGAAGCUAGGCAAGGUUAUUCCUGUGCCACAGGUGGAGGAAAGACUAAAACAAGGGGCAUACCUUUCAGAAGUGGAACUUGAGCAAGAGAAACAUUUGUAUCCAGUGUGUUCCUGCCCAUGUGAAGAAAUCUGUAGAUCCUAUACCAGGCCCUGCUUCCAAUAGCCAGCAGUCGGGCAAAAACAUGCAGGGAAACAUGGGUGGCCUUUAGGAUAUGGAACAUAAUGAUGAGCCUUUUACCUCCUGCCGCAUCAUGGUCUGAAAAUACCAUGAAGAAAGUGGUUGAAAUUAUCCUGGAAGCAAAACAACAGCUUCAGGUGUCCUAUCGCAUUGGUUUGUGCCUCAGUGUUCGGAGUGCCCCGAUCAUCCAAGGUGAAGUACACCAGUGCAAGACGGGAGAGAGCGACAGUGGAGUCACGUGCUGCAGCCUGACUGGAGAACAACCAGCGAAGUUCUCACAGUUUGGAUGGAAACGGGGAUAUACCUUUUCUUGUUUGUUUUAAAAACCCAUCUGCAAGACUUGUUACACAACAAACAUCAAUGGAACAAAGCAAGCAAGAGCAUACAGCAGCCAAAAUCUGGUUGCUGGUCAUGUCUGCGAUGAGCUUUCCUUCUUUCUUGCUUGAAGAGGAGUGACAGUGACUGGUGCCUGAGCUCAUGUUAAUACUGUCAAGAUGUAGUGACAGACAAAAUAAAGAUACAAUAAAACCGUAUACAU